rnacentral:rRNA from 1 species
GAUGAACGCUGGCGGCGUGCCUAAUACAUGCGAGUCGAGCGAACGGACGAGAAGCUUGCUUCUCUGAUGUUAGCGGCGGACGGGUGAGUAACACGUGGAUAACCUACCUAUAAGACUGGGAUAACUUCGGGAAACCGGAGCUAAUACCGGAUAAUAUUUUGAACCGCAUGGUUCAAAAGUGAAAGACGGUCUUGCUGUCACUUAUAGAUGGAUCCGCGCUGCAUUAGCUAGUUGGUAAGGUAACGGCUUACCAAGGCAACGAUGCAUAGCCGACCUGAGAGGGUGAUCGGCCACACUGGAACUGAGACACGGUCCAGACUCCUACGGGAGGCAGCAGUAGGGAAUCUUCCGCAAUGGGCGAAAGCCUGACGGAGCAACGCCGCGUGAGUGAUGAAGGUCUUCGGAUAGUAAAACUCUGUUAUUAGGGAAGAACAUAUGUGUAAGUAACUGUGCACAUCUUGACGGUACCUAAUCAGAAAGCCACGGCUAACUACGUG